GAUCAUUACAGUAUUCUUUUGCCAGCGCUUAACUGCGCGGCGAAAAACCUUACACACAGUGUCUUUUUGAUACAGAACUCUUGCUUUGGUUUGGCCUAGAGAUAGGUUGGGCCAGAGGUUUAACAAAACACAAUUUAAUUAUUUUUACAGUUAGUCAAAUUUUGAAUUAAUCUUCAAAACUUUCAACAACGGAUCUCUUGGUUCUCGCAUCGAUGAAGAACGCAGCGAAAUGCGAUAAGUAAUAUGAAUUGCAGAUUUUCGUGAAUCAUCGAAUCUUUGAACGCACAUUGCGCCCUCUGGUAUUCCAGAGGGCAUGCCUGUUUGAGCGUCAUUUCUCUCUCAAACCCCCGGGUUUGGUAUUGAGUGAUACUCUUAGUCGGACUAGGCGUUUGCUUGAAAAGUAUUGGCAUGGGUAGUACUAGAUAGUGCUGUCGACCUCUCAAUGUAUUAGGUUUAUCCAACUCGUUGAAUGGUGUGGCGGGAUAUUUCUGGUAUUGUUGGCCUGGCCUUACAACAACCAAACAAGUUUGCCCUCAAAUCAGGUAGGAAUACCCAAUGAACUUAAGCAUAU
rnacentral:rRNA from 1 species